rnacentral:snoRNA from 1 species
GCGGUCUGAAAAUCAUCCGGGGUCUGUCGUGGCCCCGGGCGAGAUAACGGCGCCCACAGCAUGGGGAACAUUAAGCUUAUUGCCCACGGCUGUGUGUGGGGAAUGAAACCCAUGUUCCCACAAGC